rnacentral:rRNA from 1 species
GACGAACGCUGGCGGCGUGCUUAACACAUGCAAGUCGAACGGAAAGGCCCUGCUUUUGUGGGGUGCUCGAGUGGCGAAAGGGUGAGUAACACGUGAGUAACCUGCCCUUGACUUUGGGAUAACUUCAGGAAACUGGGGCUAAUACCGGAUAGGAGCUCCUGCUGCAUGGUGGGGGUUGGAAAGUUUCGGCGGUUGGGGAUGGACUCGCGGCUUAUCAACUUGUUGGUGGGGUAGUGGCUUACCAAGGCUUUGACGGGUAGCCGGCCUGAGAGGGUGACCGGCCACAUUGGGACUGAGAUACGGCCCAGACUCCUACGGGAGGCAGCAGUGGGGAAUAUUGCACAAUGGGCGGAAGCCUGAUGCAGCAACGCCGCGUGCGGGAUGACGGCCUUCGGGCUGUAAACCGCUUUCGCCUGUGACGAAGCGUGAGUGACGGUAAUGGGUAAAGAAGCACCGGCUAACUACGUG